ACUACCACAUAUUUUCUUCCAAAUAAAUGUGAUAUUGUUGAAAAAUUAAAUGCCCAUGUGCUUUAUGGGAUAUGUCUCAAGCCACAGAGUGAGUGAGUGUUAAUUGCUCCAAAACAAUUAUUAGUGAUUCCAUUUGAAAUAAUCUGAAUAAGAUUCAUGGAUUGGAUCAAGUCCAAUAUCCUAGUUGUGAUGCUGUUCUAUAGUUUUGUAAAAUGUCACCACUGGGGAGAACCAGAUAAAGGAUACAGGAGGUCUCUCUGUAUUUAUUAUUUGUACA
rnacentral:lncRNA from 10 species